rnacentral:lncRNA from 1 species
UUCUGAUUCUUAUUCUUUCUUAUGGCGGAAGAGGGUGUUGAGAGGGGUUCCCUUGCUGUUGGUUCUGUUGAAUCAGGAGCAUUAAAUCUUUUUUGUUUUUUUUUGAGACAGAAUCUCACUCUGUCACCCAGGCUGGAGUACAGUGGUGCAAUCUCAGCUCUCUGCAACCUCCACCUCCUGGGUUUAAGCGAUUCUCCUGCCUCAGCCUCCCGAGUAGCUGGGAUUAUAGGCACCUGCCACCACGCCUGGC